rnacentral:misc_RNA from 1 species
GCAGGAUCAACCAGGUAGCAUUCCUCACGGACAUCGACCCGCACGGCACGUGGCCGGAACGGGACCGAAGUCGUUCGAAAUAGGCCUUGAAGCCUUUUUUGCGGACAGAUAGGAGUCGGAGACUCCGUGCCCUCAUCGUUUUCCGCAUCCCAGCGCCCGAGCGAGAAUUUAUGGACCACGAAACAGACACGAAACGUGUAGUACGUGGGACACGAAUCUCGUUUCGAGUUUCACCCGCAGCCGCACCGAGAUAACGGGCAACCUAAGGCGAACAGCUAGAGAUUGACAAACGAAUUCCAUCUAGUAGGUAUGAAACACAGGAAACCAAUACACGGCCAAUGUAAAUUGUGCCAACAAUGAAGAGGAUAGCAAGGUAGGACGUCUCCGCUCGAAGCAGGGAUCCAACCAAACCGUGCUAAC